AAUUUAGUUUCAGAGUGCUUUCUCUUUAUCCUUUCGUAUUUCUUCAGAUUUUCCUGGGAAUUUAUUUGUUUCCUGUUGGAUUGGUGGGAGCCGUUGAAGAUUAGGGAGGAAUUUCGGGAAGAACUGCGAUCUAGGUUUAUUUAAAUGCUCUGGUUUCGAUUUUAGUCUUAUUUGAAAUGUUCUUCUAUGAUUAUUUGUAUCUUUUGUGCUUUGAUUGCUUAGAAAAUUCCCAUUUCUAGUGGUUUUUGCUCGUGUGGAUUAUUGGAUUAUGGAUGUUAGAGCUGGGGUUUGAUUGAAUUACAUUAUACAACAUUUUGCUUGUGAAAGAGGCAGGUUGAAGAAGAGAAAGCUCAGAAUGGCUAGCAGCUGGAAAAGAUCAUUAGGGAAUGUCAGGUCCCUCAUCGGCAAUUCGAUGGGCGGUCUCAGAGGCGGCGCCAAUCUCGCUUCUUGGGUCGUCGCCGGAACCCUCGCCUACUUCCUUUGGGUCAAGCCCUCCCAAGACCUCAAACGUGAGCAGCAGGAAAGGGCUGCUCUUGCAGCUGUGGAUCCUCAUCGGUAUAUUGAGAAGAGGAAACCUAUUCCCGAUCCCCAGGAAACUGGUUCGAUAUACGACAACAAGAAUACGCCUCGAAAACCAGAGGAAUAAGCUAUGGAGGAGACUGAAAACUUUAGAGAAAUGGAAUUUUGAUUGAGCUUGUCACAGAUUGGAGGGAGCCUAGAACUAUGAAGGUUAGAAGGUGAUAGAUGAGGAAUGUGUGUGUAGUUCAGUAAAGAGUUGUGGUCAAAUCACUUGAAGGUUGAAAAGGUUCUUUAUUUUUUGUUUUUGUCAUUUUCUUUGUUCACAAAUCACCCAGUAACCCGAACUACCCAACGGGUUGGAUAUUUUUUUUGUUCGGGUUGGGUUGAAUUUUUGUAGAACCUAAAUUUUGGUUCAGUUCGCAAGUUAAAGAUUUUUUUUAGUCAUUUCAACUUAA